AUACGAGUUUGAUCCUGGCUCAGAUUGAACGCUGGCGGAAUGCUUUACACAUGCAAGUCGAACGGCAGCACGGGGGCAACCCUGGUGGCGAGUGGCGAACGGGUGAGUAAUACAUCGGAACGUGCCCAGUCGUGGGGGAUAACGUAGCGAAAGCUACGCUAAUACCGCAUACGAUCUACGGAUGAAAGCGGGGGAUCGCAAGACCUCGCGCGAUUGGAGCGGCCGAUGGCAGAUUAGGUAGUUGGUGGGGUAAAGGCUCACCAAGCCUUCGAUCUGUAGCUGGUCUGAGAGGACGACCAGCCACACUGGGACUGAGACACGGCCCAGACUCUUACGGGAGGCAGCAGUGGGGAAUUUUGGACAAUGGGCGAAAGCCUGAUCCAGCCAUUCCGCGUGCAGGAUGAAGGCCCUCGGGUUGUAAACUGCUUUUGUACGGAACGAAACGGCCUUUUCUAAUACAGAGGGCUAAUGACGGUACCGUAAGAAUAAGCACCGGCUAACUACGUG
rnacentral:rRNA from 1 species